rnacentral:rRNA from 1 species
GACGAACGCUGGCGGCGUGCUUAACACAUGCAAGUCGAACGGAAAGGCCCUGCUUUUGUGGGGUGCUCGAGUGGCGAACGGGUGAGUAACACGUGAGUAACCUGCCCAUGACUUUGGGAUAACUUCAGGAAACUGGGGCUAAUACCGGAUAGGAGCUCCUGCUGCAUGGUGGGGGUGGGAAAGUUUCGGCGGUUGGGGAUGGACUCGCGGCUUAUCAGCUUGUUGGUGGGGUAGUGGCUUACCAAGGCUUUGACGGGUAGCCGGCCUGAGAGGGUGACCGGCCACCUUGGGACUGAGAUACGGCCCAGACUCCUACGGGAGGCAGCAGUGGGGAAUAUUGCACAAUGGGCGGAAGCCUGAUGCAGCAACGCCGCGUGCGGGAUGACGGCCUUCGGGUUGUAAACCGCUUUCGCCUGUGACGAAGCGUGAGUGACGGUACUGGGUAAAGAAGCACCGGCUAACUACGUG